GAAGAACGUGGGGCCAUCUGGGGUCACCAUUGUUAUCAUCAGGAAAGAUCUGAUCGGUGGAGCUCAAGACAGUACUCCCGUGAUGUUGGAUUACAAGAUCCACCAUGAAAACAAUUCGCUCUACAACACCCCACCCUGUUAUGGAAUCUACAUGUGUGGAUUAGUGUUUGAGGAUCUGCUGGAACAGGGGGGGCUAAAGGAGGUGGAGAAGAAGAACAAGAACAAGGCCGAGAUUCUCUACGAAGCGAUCGACCAAAGCAACGGAUUCUACCGGUGCCCUGUUGAGCGUUCGGUGAGGUCAUUGAUGAAUGUACCAUUUACUCUGGAGAAGGCAGAGCUGGAAGGUGAGUUUGUGAAGGAAGCAGCGAAAGAGAAGAUGGUUCAGCUGAAGGGGCAUAGAUCAGUGGGAGGAAUGAGAGCAUCUAUAUACAAUGCAAUGCCAUUGGCUGGAGUGGAGAAAUUGGUUGCUUUCAUGAAGGAUUUCCAGGCAAGGCAUGCUUGAUUUGAUUAUCAUAAUAUGAUAAUGUAAUUUGCAGCUAUAAUAUUUUUCAGCUCUCAAGUGAAAAGUCAAGGCAGAGCAUCAUCAUCAUAUUCUGUUGUAUCGUUUUGGG
rnacentral:misc_RNA from 1 species